GCCUUAAAUCUCAAAUUUAUACAAAUUUUAUAAAUAAAACUGAAUGGGGAUACAUAAUAGGGGAAAUGUAUACAAAAUAAUCAGUCCCACACAGGGAUAUGACCCUAAACUAUGCCUCCACGAAAGAUCCUUCUGCUUUCUUGAUUUGUUGUCAUCCCCGGGUGCCAAUAUCUUCGAAUAUGCUAGUAGCCGGUGAAGCUCUUUCUUUAACCUAAGCAAACUAUAACUUAAUUUUUACCCUAUGAGACAAUGAUUUUCUCAAACAACGUAUACACCCUUCAAAUUUAAACACAUAAGUAUGAACGUCCAUUUAGGCAGUGGACUGUUUUAGACUCAAGGUGGUCUUCUAAUGGGCUCAACACGCCUUGGGUAUUGAGUCAUCUUAGUUCAAAUGGCGCUAUUUUCGGAAUUUGGCUCGGCUCUACACUAGUUGACUAGGAGUGGGUUUUAUUUUGAGUGGAAAAGGUGAUCCAAGCGGACUACUUGGGUUGGGACAGUUAAUGAUCGUUGACUAUCAAGUAGCCAACUACACUCGUCAGGGUGUCCCGAGAAAAUCUUUGGUUAAUGAACGACUGCGAACCUGCAUAAUCGUCCUUUAGUGAAAAUGAAAUAAUUAUCGUUUGACGGAAAAUAUUAUGCCAUGAAUGCAAUGAUAAUAUACCAACAACAAGAUAAAUA
rnacentral:misc_RNA from 1 species